rnacentral:rRNA from 1 species
UACGUAGGGUGCAAGCGUUAAUCGGAAUUACUGGGCGUAAAGCGUGCGCAGGCGGUUCGCUAAGACAGAUGUGAAAUCCCCGGGCUUAACCUGGGAACUGCAUUUGUGACUGCAUGGCUAGAGUGUGUCAGAGGGGGGUAGAAUUCCACGUGUAGCAGUGAAAUGCGUAGAUAUGUGGAGGAAUACCGAUGGCGAAGGCAGCCCCCUGGGAUAACACUGACGCUCAUGCACGAAAGCGUGGGGAGCAAACAGG